UUAUCUCUUUCUCCCUUUUGCACAUGUUGUAAACUAUUGCUUAUUUGCUAUUUGUUUCUCCUAAGGCUUUUACGAAAGGGAUGAUUGAAAUAUCGUAUGUUUGUGAGUGAGUGGAAUGGUGAAAAUUUAAUUAAUUAGAGUGUCUUUUGUUUAUGAACAACACACCUAUUAGCAAACUUUGCAAUACUACAAGUCUUAUUAAUUAUCAUAUCUUCAGUUUCUCUUUAAAUGCUUUUGUGAAUCUGUUUUAUUAUUUAUAAAUUUAAAUUCUCCUUAAUCCAAAAGGAUUGAGAUCAUCAACAGUUCUGACACACAAUAGCACCAUUUUCCACCUUAGAUUCCAUUGCAUUCUUACCUUCAGCCUUCAUAUAAGAUGCCAGCUAGCAGCAUCCUUUUCCUUGAACUGAUAACACUAGCUCUCAUCAAAUUACAUGGUAUAAUAAACCUCAAUGGAAAUUGGGUAUUUGUGAUCUUUAUCUAUGGAUUGCGAUUUUAGGCAGAAUAAGAAAUUAAACCCAGGGGCAGAAUUUAAGAACAUUUCAGACAUGAUUGGAGCUAAAUGGAAGAUGAUUAUAUCGUAAGAGAAAAAUUCUUAACAUAAUAUGAAACCUUCUUUUCUUGCAUGUUACAAGUGACUGAAAAUAUCAUUAUUGUGUUUGGGUGAAUGAAUUUGUAAAUGGAGUGAUGAUUUUGUAGUUUUGAGGAUUUUUCAUUGUAGAAUCCAAAGAAGACAUCGUGGGUUGGAAAUGGAGAGAAGAGUAAAGGCAGAAUGAGAAAGGAGUAAAGGAUUGCCUUCCACCAAGGGUAAUAACCAACCAACAAGGUGCCUGAACAUAUUGCAAGAUUUUGAAAAGUGACAACUCGGAUAAAAUGGCAGUGUCUAAGCUCAUGUCUAUGUUUUAAUAUAUUCAUUAAGUUAGUCUUAUUGAUGGUUGUAUGUUGUGCCAUCCUUACUAAGGUCUUUUUGCUUAGUGAAGUUCAAGCUUUUUAUUCA